UGGGGGAUAUUGCACAAUGGGCGAAAGCCUGAUGCAGCGACGCCGCGUGGGGGAUGAAGGCUUUCGGGUUGUAAACCUCUUUCGCUAUCGAACAAGGCCCGCUUAGGGUGGGUUGAGGGUAGGUGGAGAAGAAGCGCCGGCUAACUACGUGCCAGCAGCCGCGGUAAUACGUAGGGCGCGAGCGUUGUCCGGAAUUAUUGGGCGUAAAGGGCUUGUAGGCGGCUUGUUGCGCCUGCUGUGAAAACGCGGGGCUUAACUUCGCGCGUGCAGUGGGUACGGGCAGGCUUGAGUGUGGUAGGGGUGACUGGAAUUCCAGGUGUAGCGGUGGAAUGCGCAGAUAUCUGGAGGAACACCGAUGGCGAAGGCAGGUCACUGGGCCAUAACUGACGCUGAGGAGCGAAAGCAUGGGUAGCGAACAGG
rnacentral:rRNA from 1 species